GGGGCAGUAGCUCAGUGGUAGAGUUCCAGCUACGUAUGCGAGAAGACCUGGGUUCGAUUCCCGGCUGCUCAC
rnacentral:tRNA from 1 species